ACGCACGCUGGCGGCAUGCCUAACACAUGCAAGUCGAACGAGACCUUCGGGUCUAGUGGCGCACGGGUGCGUAACGCGUGGGAACCUGCCCUUAGGUUCGGAAUAACUCCCCGAAAGGGGUGCUAAUACCGGAUAAUGUCUUCGGACCAAAGAUUUAUCGCCUUUGGAUGGGCCCGCGUUGGAUUAGCUAGUUGGUAGGGUAAAAGCCUACCAAGGCGACGAUCCAUAGCUGGUCUGAGAGGAUGAUCAGCCACACUGGGACUGAGACACGGCCCAGACUCCCACGGGAGGCAGCAGUGGGGAAUAUUGGACAAUGGGCGAAAGCCUGAUCCAGCAAUGCCGCGUGAGUGAUGAAGGCCUUAGGGUUGUAAAGCUCUUUUACCCGGGAUGAUAAUGACAGUACCGGGAGAAUAAGCUCCGGCUAACUCCGUG
rnacentral:rRNA from 1 species